CCCGAGAGAUCAUAAGGGAGCUGACUGCAAAUCUGCCGUCAUCGACUUCAAGGUUAGACUCGAGCAAAAGACAGAGAACGUUGCCGCAGGCAACGGACCGAACGGUGAGGAGCUUUAGCUCCGAAUAAUGCUUCCCGCUAUAGAA
rnacentral:sRNA from 1 species